ACCUUCGUGGUGUAGUGGUCAGCACGCUCGGCGCGUAUUUGAGAAUUUCGAGGUUCGAAUCCCGGUGAGGGCA
rnacentral:tRNA from 1 species